rnacentral:rRNA from 1 species
AAAUUGAAGAGUUUGAUCAUGGCUCAGAUUGAACGCUGGCGGCAGGCCUAACACAUGCAAGUCGAACGGUAACAGGAAGAAGCUUGCUUCUUUGCUGACGAGUGGCGGACGGGUGAGUAAUGUCUGGGAAACUGCCUGAUGGAGGGGGAUAACUACUGGAAACGGUAGCUAAUACCGCAUAACGUCGCAAGACCAAAGAGGGGGACCUUCGGGCCUCUUGCCAUCGGAUGUGCCCAGAUGGGAUUAGCUUGUUGGUGGGGUAACGGCUCACCAAGGCGACGAUCCCUAGCUGGUCUGAGAGGAUGACCAGCCACACUGGAACUGAGACACGGUCCAGACUCCUACGGGAGGCAGCAGUGGGGAAUAUUGCACAAUGGGCGCA